AGAGUUUGAUCAUGGCUCAGGACGAACGCUGGCGGCGUGCCUAACACAUGCAAGUCAAGGGGUAGUAAUACCACUGGCGCACGGGUGAGUAACGCGUAGGUAAUCUGCCCUUAUCCCUGGCAUAACAUCGAGAAAUCGGUGCUAACACCAGAUGAGGCACUUCGGUGUCAAAGUUUAUUCGGAUAAGGAUAAGCCUGCGUCUGAUUAGCUAGUUGGUGAGAUAAAAGCUCACCAAGGCGACGAUCAGUAGCUGGUCUGAGAGGAUGAUCAGCCACACUGGAACUGAGACACGGUCCAGACUCCUACGGGAGGCAGCAGUGAGGAAUAUUGGUCAAUGGGCGCAAGCCUGAACCAGCAACGCCGCGUGAGGGAUGACAAGGCUCUGCCUUGUAAACCUCUGUCGGAUGGGAAGAAAAGCCGGGUCGCCCGGCUGGGACUGUACCAUUAGAGGAAGGGUCGGCUAACUACGUGCCAGCAGCCGCGGUAAUACGUAGGACCCAAGCGUUGUCCGGAUUUACUGGGUGUAAAGGGUGCGUAGGCGGACUCGUGCGUCAGAGGUUAAAUCCCACCGCUUAACGGUGGAACUGCCUUUGAUACGGCAAGUCUUGAAUGCGAGAGAGGAUGAUGGAAUUCCUGGUGUAGCGGUGAAAUGCGUAGAUAUCAGGAGGAACACCAGUGGCGAAGGCGGUCAUCUGGCUCGUUAUUGACGCUGAGGCACGAAAGCGUGGGGAUCAAACAGGAUUAGAUACCCUGGUAGUCCACGCCCUAAACGAUGUAUGCUUGGUGCUGGGAACUUGUUCUCGGUGCCGAAGGAAACCCAUUAAGCAUACCACCUGGGGAGUACGAUCGCAAGGUUGAAACUCAAAGGAAUUGACGG
rnacentral:rRNA from 1 species